GCAGACACCACUGACAACACCACCCAAGGCAUCUAUUUCUCGCAUUAGUGUUCCUUUUCCAAUCCCACCGAAAGCUGGAUUACAGCUCAUUUGUCCAAUAUUGUCGAAGGACUUUGUUAAAAGAGUAGUUUUCGCACCUAAUCUAGAAGCAGCAGCAGCGGCUUCCACGCCAGCGUGUCCACCUCCUAUCACUACGACAUUCUUCCGGCGAUUGAAGGAGGUGCAGAAAUAUCGCUUUGUUGUUCGAAACAUUUGUUCACCCCAAAUAAACUAUUUCAAAAACAUACAUAAGGACCUUUUGUUAAAGUACCGACAAAAAAAUGCACAAAAUAUAUUUGAGUUAUGCGUAAAGGUUAAUGAUAAAUUUGUUGUUGAGGUCUUGCUGAAAUAAAACGCUAUAUAGUCGGGAAAGAGCUGUUAAAAAGCACAGUCAAUCAAAAAUUCUAAAAUUAGUGGAAAAUAGACAUUCAGGAUGUCAGAAGUUUGUAAUUGAAUCUAUCAACAGAUUAGGCAAUGGUUGUAAUGCUCCUAAGGUUAAUCAGACUAAUUUACGUCUGAAAUCUGAAGAUUUAGAACAAAUAUAUUACAACCUUUUUAUUAUUUUUCCUUUUUUAAAAACUAUGAAUAUCUGAUUGCAGAAUAAACGAAUUUAAGAAAAUACUUUUUUUUUUUCAAGCUUGUCGUCACUUGUGAGUUUGAGAAUAUUCGGG